ACAGCAGCCGCCGCGGGAAUACGGAGGGUGCAAGCGUUAAUCGGAAUUACUGGGCGUAAAGCGUGCGUAGGCGGUUUGUUAAGUCUGUUGUGAAAGCCCCGGGCUCAACCUGGGAAUGGCAAUGGAUACUGGCGAGCUAGAGUGUGUCAGAGGAUGGUGGAAUUCCCGGUGUAGCGGUGAAAUGCGUAGAGAUCGGGAGGAACAUCAGUGGCGAAGGCGGCCAUCUGGGACAACACUGACGCUGAGGCACGAAAGCGUGGGGAGCAAACAGGAUUAGAUACCCCCGUAGUCCCUGUCUCUUAUAC
rnacentral:rRNA from 1 species